rnacentral:lncRNA from 1 species
UCAUUUCCAGCUUUCCUUCUAUCAUUUCUUGCUGUAGCAACCCUGUUAAAAACAUCUAAGCAUGAGACCUCGCCACCAACUUCACUGCGUCAGGAAUUAUUUUCUCGCUCUUCUGUUUGCAUCAUCCCCAAGAGAAUUCCCGAAACCAGAUGGUUGGGUUCAGAAGGUCAAAAGUCAGUGAUCAGUCUUCUUCUUUUGUCCUCCUACUGCCAUCAUGUGAAUCUAUUGGCGUCCUUUAUUCUCAUAAUCUCUCGAGUAGAAAGUAUCCAAUUCUCAGGGGUUGAGUGUCUGGAAGCACACAAGUAUCCACCCAGAAUCUAAAGGUCAGCAGAGGCAUCAAUUGCUGGUUUGAAUUUUGGUUCGAGAGUAAUUCUACUUUGAGCCCUCCCCAUGCUCUUGUGGCCAAAUAAGGCAUUGCAGAUCGAGAGUACGGCCUUAAUUUCACACUCUCUCACAAGGUUGCAAGACCCAGAGACAUGAAUGCAUGCCACCUACUCUCCCAAAUCCUCUUGCAUAAAUAUCAUAUAUGGUACUCCUCAUCUACCGCUCUUAUUCAUUUCCAUCUUUGCUCAAACAAUUUAUUGCUUGUGUAGUUGUAUUGAUGGCUUUGAAUCAUACAUUACUAACACUUGCCCUUCAGGACAUACCGAUGCACAAAGAUUUUGAAAUUGGUGAACUAAUGGGACUUAUUAUUGGUAGGCUGAACUAGCCAUAUCUCGUCUCCAGGUGCCUUGAUGAUCAAGUGCUUCAGCCUCAGGACCUACAACCAGGUCUCAUGCCCAAAUAUUGGUAAGCAAUCAAGUACUAAUUAGGAGUUUUGAUCAGGCAACAUGAUCUAGAUCCGGAGCAAAUGGCUGUGUUGACUGAUCGAGUUCGGGUCUUUUCCAAUCUGAUUUCGGCUACAUCCAAAAACUAAUGGGCUCAGGAUUUAGUUGCCGGCGAUCGAAAACAAGCUGACUUAGGUUUUAGGUCGUUCAAUUGGAGUUGAUAAUAUCAAAGCCUGAUGUACAUUGUCUACCCUUUUCCUUAUUAGCUUAAACAUCCGAGUUGAACUGGUUAGCCGAUAUUUAUUAAGACUCAGGUUGUCAUCUGUUAUUUUGAUUCUCAUCUAUUUGACUUAAAUCA